GACGAACGCUGGCGGCGUGCUUAACACAUGCAAGUCGAACGGAAAGGCCUCUUUCGGGGGGUACUCGAGUGGCGAACGGGUGAGUAACACGUGAGUAACCUGCCCUUGACUUUGGGGUAACUUCAGGAAACUGGGGCUAAUACCGGAUAGGAGCUCCUGCUGCAUGGUGGGGGUUGGAAAGUUUCGGCGGUUGGGGAUGGACUCGCGGCUUAUCAGCUUGUUGGUGGGGUAGUGGCUUACCAAGGCUUUGACGGGUAGCCGGCCUGAGAGGGUGACCGGCCACAUUGGGACUGAGAUACGGCCCAGACUCCUACGGGAGGCAGCAGUGGGGAAUAUUGCACAAUGGGUGGAAGCCUGAUGCAGCAACGCCGUGGGCGGGAUGACGGCCUUCGGGUUGUAAACCGCUUUCGCUCAUGACGAAGCUUUGUGUGACGGUAGUGGGUAAAGAAGCACCGGCUAACUACGUG
rnacentral:rRNA from 1 species